rnacentral:rRNA from 1 species
CCUACGGGAGGCAGCAGGGAGGAAUAGUGGGCAAUGGGCGCGAGCCGGAACCAGCCAAGUAGCGUGAAGGAGGAAUGCCCGACGGGUUGUAAAAUUCUUUUAUAAAGGAAUAAAGUGAGGCACGUGUGCCUUUUUGUAUGUACUUUAUGAAUAAGGAUCGGCUAACUCCGUGCCAGCAGCCGCGGUAAUACGGAGGAUCCGAUCGUUAUCCGGAUUUAUUGGGUUUAAAGGGAGCGUAGAUGGGUUGUUAAGUCAGUUGUGAAAGUUUGCGGCUCAACCGUAAAAUUGCAAUUGAUACUGGCAGCCUUGAGUACCUUUGAGGUAGGCGGAAUUCGUGGUGUAGCGGUGAACUGCUUAGAUAUCACGAAGAACUCCGAUUGCGAAGGCAGCUUACUAAACUGCCACUGACAUUGAUGCUCGAAAGUGUGGGUAUCAAACAGGAUUAGAUACCCUUGUAGUC